UCCCAGUUGGCUCAGAUGGUAAAGAAUCUGUCUGCAGUGCAGGAGAUCCAUGUUCAAUCCCUGGGUUGGGAA
rnacentral:tRNA from 1 species